AUUUAAACACAAUUAAAUUUAAUCACAAUUAAAGUUGAAUUCAAACAAACUCAGAAGAUUUAUUCAGUCUUUCAAAUCCUGAAUGUUCAGGUUCUUUUAGGAUCACUAGUUUAGAAACUAAGAAAUACGACUACCAAGAUUAGACUGGAUUACCAAAAUUACCAAAGGUUUAGAAACCACAAGUUGACCAAAGAAUGUUAAAACAAUGAAACUGGAUACGACUGGUUUGGUCACUUAUACUGAUGAGUUAGCUUAGAAGCUCUUGAACCCUUAUCUUGUCGACCAAUGAUUAGCUUUAGAAAGCAAAAGAUGAAUUUAGAGUUGAAAUGAGUUUCCAAACUCUAACCAAAAACAGCUAAAAACCGAGAAGUUGAACUCAAUGAUUAUAAUCAGGAGAAUAGCACACAAUUCAAUAGCUGUAAUCUCGAGCAUUGACCAGAAUCAAUUAGGCAAAUAUGAUGAGAAAACACAAAUAGACUAGAGUCUUAGGAAGCACAAAAUUAAGAGCACAAUGGAAAUUUAAAGAAAACUUAAAGACAUUUAUUAACACCAAAUUAACCCAAAAAAUAAGAAAAAGAUGAAGGUUUAUAAACCAUGAAGAUGAACAACUUAUUAUCAGAAUUGUAACACUUAAAGAUAUUUUAGAUUCAGUUCAUUUCGAUACUUAAUGAUUAAAAAAAAAGACCAUUAAACUCAAUUAAGAGGAACCCUUAUAUACGUUACUAAACGGAAGGAAAAGAACAAAAGAAAAAGGAAAAGGAAUAGUUAUGUAAGCUUAGAAGCUCUGACCAAUUAUCACUGUGACAACAGUAAACAAUCUUAUGAUGUCAUUGUUAGGGAUUAUUACAAAAUUUACAAAACCAAUUUUUAUGUUUUACCCAAUAGUAAGCUUACAAGCUAAACAAAAUGAAAAUUAAAGAUUAAAUGAUUAAAUGAUUUUUAUCAAAUGAUUAUGAUUGGAAUGAUUUUGGGCAACUCUACCCUUCAAAUUAAUUGUUCAUUUCCAAAUUAAUUGACAAGCAUCUUAGAUCUAUUGUUUGCUACAGACACCAUUCAUUAGAGGAUCUUCAAGAUUUUGAUAAAUAAUUAUGUAAAUUAAAUGGCUAUUAAAUUAGCAAAAAAAGUAUCAACAAGAAUCAAGGAUUUGAAAGGAGAAGCUGGUAAACAAAGUGUUGAUACUAAUAGCUUUGUUGUUUGUCAUUGUUAUUUGUUUAGUGAAAAAAGUGAAUCCCUAAUAUACAUUAUUUCCUCAUUGUGGAUAUUUCUUUUGAUUUGUUUUGUUUCUAUUGUUGAAAUCAUUUAAAUCACUUGGCAAGUUGAGAGGCUCUCAUACAAUCAACACAUCCAUUGAUACCAUUUUCAACUCAUCUUGUGAUUUUUUAUAUAAAACUGUAACUCAUAUGGCCUGUUGACUAACUGUGUAAAUCAAAUUGUAUAUCAAAUUUUGUAUCACUUUUUGUGCUUUACUAUUACUUUUAUUCCUACCUUUUACUUGCUCCUAUGAGAAUGGUUCAGUUAUUUUAGUUACAUUGGGAUUGGAAAGCAAGAAAAGACGAUGAAAAUUGUUGUUAACAUGGUUGAUGUAACAGAAAAAGUAAAUAAGACGAAAUCAAAUAAACUGUAUAUUUUUUUGUAUUUUACUCUCAUUCAUUUUAUCAUUAUUGUUACAUCAAGUUAUAAACAAUUUUCAAUUCAAAUUCCCAUUCAACUGUAGAAACUUGAUAUAAUCAUAAUUCAAUUUUCAAUGAUUGUGAUUUACUUUUUUGCCUUCAUUGUACUUUGUAUGCUAAUAACCAUCAAAAUGUAUGUGAUGUGUUAAGAGCCAAAUAACGAAUGGCAACAAUCAAAUAAAAUAAUGAAUUUUAAUAUAAUCUUGAUAACAAUUGUACAAAAUUAAAUUGUAAAUGUUCUUGUACUGUAAUGUAAAAUCAAUUUUCAUGUCGAUUGUAUAUAAACUGUUUCAAUAAACUUCAUUCAAGACUCAA